GUAAAUUCUAAACCUAGGACUCAACAGUCGUUCCCUGUUUCCUCUAUCUUGAAACUCUGCCACCCUGAGGACAAGCCCAGGCUAGCCUGCUGGAGGGUGAUUGAUUAUAUAAAGGAAACUCAGUAUAGCAGAGCCGACAUCCUGAAGACUUCUGUGGGAGCAGAUGCCUAGCUGAAACACAGCUGACAAGAGAGUCAUGAAAAAGUCAAAAGGAUCACCUGCUAAGUCCAUUUUAAAAUCAUGAUCUACAGAAAGAGACAGGGUCUUGCUCCAUCACCCAGGCUGGAGUUCAGUGGCAUAUUCACAGCUCACUGCAGCUUUCACCUUCCAGGUUCAAGUUGUCUUCCCACCUCAGACUCCCAAGUAGCUGGGACCACAGGAGGAAAUCUCUUCACUGCUGGCACUGACAAUGGAAGACUGAGGGUGCCCGGGAUCCUUCACCCCCACAUCCAGUGAGUCCACGGAACCCAGGGUAACUGGGAUGGUAUCUGAUGAUAGCAAAUUGGAGUCAGUGUUAGCAAGACUCUCCCACUUGGAAAGACAAAAUAGUGUAUAGUCAUUCACACUGUGAACUCUAUUUCCAAGAAGAAAUGCAGAAACUUAACAGGAAAACGGAAAUCCACCAAUUCUCUGAAAGAAGCUGCAUGCUGCAGCCUACAUUGUAAGGUAGGCAAAAAACUGUUUUAACUUCCCAGAAUGUGAGAGGGAAAGAGAGUGCUUCGGGAUAUACCCUCCCACCAGGAAACCUGGAAAUCCAGCCCUCAGGAAAAGCCUGAACGCUACACAGAGCUGGUACUGAUUUAGGGAGCAGUGAGGAAUGGGAAGAGCCUUGUGUGGGACCUUGUGGAAGUCACCCAAUUAACUCAGGCAACAUUUGCAAGUUGAAAGAAGCUCCUACCUGAAUUUUGUGAAAUAGCUAUUUCCCAGGGAGGCUUCUGGUCUGCGGCAGUCUUAGUUCUGAAUAUAGACGUCCUGGAAUUUAGCUCACUGCUGUUAGCAGAAAUCUACAGGUGUGAGAACUACCUUGCCAAGUGCAUGGGAUCUGGGUGGGGCUUACUGAUGCCUGCUGUGCCCCACUUCUUGCACAAACUAUUCUGUGCAGUAGAGGCAGCUUUUCUCCACUCUGGUACAUUACAUCAGUGGUGAGGUAACUGUCCCUCAACUCCCACAGUGGCUGCAGAUUGCCCCACAUAUGGAGAGUCAGAGCAUGGAUCUCUCUGACCCAGCCCACACCUGAUUUUGCCCCUCUACCCACACUGAUAGCCUAACACAAAAGACAGGAACUUUUGGGAGCUUUAUGUCCCCACCCAUCACCUGAGAAACCAGAGUGCCUCCUUUGGGUAACAUAAGGCAAACACAAAUCUCAACACUACUACUGCAGCUGAUGCUCCUUUGCAAACACGACCUCCUAGCUGGAGGCCAACCAACACAGUCCAUUACAGCACUUUCAGGUAGAUAACACUGCACCCCGGAAGGAGAAAAUUUGUACAUGAUAUCAGCUAUCACCAUUGCCUGCACCAACAUGACUAACCAGGAAGUCCUGAUACUAUCUACGUGACCAGUUUAUUUUUGCUGCAACUGGCAUUUGAGAAAGCCAACACACUAACACUAUCCAUAGCCAAAGAAUCUCAACGAGUCUACAUUACUCCCCUGCCGCCUGCAUCAGAACUGGUGCUGGUACUUGAUACUGGGAGACUUGAGGACAGGUCACAUCUCUGAAUCCCUUGCAGACAUUUCCCAGCACCAGCCUAGAGUGUGGCAGACCCAUUAGGCAGCUAGGCCCAGAAGAGCAACAACAUUCACAUUCUGGCUCUCAGGGACUCCUACUACUAGGGCAAGGGGUAGUACGUCACGUAAAGGGAACACUACGGCACAAAAGUAUCUGGAUAGCAGGCCUUCAGUCCCAGAUUUUUCCACUUGUGGAAUGUUUUUUUCAGCAGAGGCACAGUUGCAGUAAUGGGCUCAGCAGGGAAAGUCUGCAGUUCUACUCCAACAGUCAGGAAGCCCUGGUGCUCAUGAAGCAUCUUGGAGAAGAGGAAAUAUUUCCCCCCUUUUCCACCACUGAAGACAUAGCUGGGGCUUUUCUCUCAGGAGAGUGGCAUGGGUGCACAUAUAGACAGCUUUUCUGAAACACUUCAGGGUGAUCCACAUAGGAGGGGCACCCUCCAGGUGCAAGCUUGCAGGAGAUGUACAGUCACCAUUCGUCUCUACUUGGAGCAUCAACAUUCCUGCAUAAUAAAAGAGAUGCCUGUCUGAUCUGAAUACCCAGAACACUGGGUCAAGAGUAUGUGUGGGAGGUGGAUUGCUUUCCUGCUGUCCUGGCAGGGGAGUUGAGAUGGCUCCAGUCCUUUCCUCUGACAAGAACUCAGUGUGACUCACUGAGAGCUCCCCCAGCCAUCUCUGUCAAGGCUAGGACCCCUGCCCACCAUUGGGUAUUGCAUUCACCAACCUGCUUUAGUCAUAGACAGUUUUUAGCUAAGGACGCCUCCCAUACAGGCCAGAAACCUGAGUGAUUCA
rnacentral:lncRNA from 10 species